GUUGGUGGAGUGAUUUGUCUGGUUAAUUCCGAUAACGAACGAGACCAUAUCCUGCUAACUAGAUCCUCAAUAUUGGUUGAGGUUUUCUUCUUAGAGGUACCCUGCGUGUUUAACGCAUGGAAGUUUGUGGCAAUAACAGGUCU
rnacentral:rRNA from 1 species